AACGCUAGCGGCAAGCUUAACACAUGCAAGUCGAACGAAUUGUAGCUGUAGUUUACUAUGGGUACAGUUAGUGGCAGACGGGUGAGUAAUGCAUAGGAAUCUGCCUAGUAGUAUGGAAUAGCUGUUAGAAAUGACAGGUAAUACCGUAUAAUCCCUGCGGGGGAAAGAUUUAUCGCUAUUAGAUGAGCCUAUGUUAGAUUAGCUAGUUGGUAAGGUAAUGGCUUACCAAGGCUAUGAUCUAUAGCUGGUCUGAGAGGACGAUCAGCCACACUGGAACUGAGAUACGGUCCAGACUCCUACGGGAGGCAGCAGUGGGGAAUAUUGGACAAUGGGCGCAAGCCUGAUCCAGCUAUGCCGCAUGAGUGAAGAAGGCCUUAGGGUUGUAAAACUCUUUCAGCAGGGAAGAUAAUGACGGUACCUGCAGAAGAAGUCCCGGCAAACUCCGUGCCAGCAGCCGCGGUAA
rnacentral:rRNA from 1 species